rnacentral:rRNA from 1 species
AUUGAACGCUGGCGGCAGGCUUAACACAUGCAAGUCGAGCGGAGCCUUCGGGCUUAGCGGCGAACGGGUGAGGAAUGCCUGGGAAUCUGCCUGUUAGUGGGGGAUAACGUUCCGAAAGGAACGCUAAUACCGCAUACGUCCUACGGGAGAAAGCAGGGGACCUUCGGGCCUUGCGCUAACAGAUGAGCCCAGGUCGGAUUAGCUAGUUGGUGGGGUAAAGGCUCACCAAGGCGACGAUCCGUAGCUGGUCUGAGAGGAUGAUCGAGCCAACUACGUAGGAACUGAGAC